rnacentral:rRNA from 1 species
GACGAACGCUGGCGGCGUGCUUAACACAUGCAAGUCGAACGGAGUGGCGAACGGGUGAGUAACACGUGGGUGAUCUGCCUUGCACUUCGGGAUAAGCUUGGGAAACUGGGUCUAAUACCGGAUAGUGCAAGAUGAGCUCGCGGCCUAUCAGCUUGUUGGUGGGGUAAUGGCCGACCAAGGCGUCGACGGGUAGCCGGCCUGAGAGGGUGUACGGCCACAUUGGGACGGAGAGACGGCCCAGACUCGUACUGGAGGCAGCGGUGGGGAAUAUUGCGCAAGGGGGGGAGGCCUGAUGCAGCGACGCCACGUGGGGGAUGAAGGCCUUCGGGUUGUAAACGCCUUGCGGCAGGGACGCGGUACCUGUAUAAGAAGCACCGGCUAACUACGUGCCAGCCGCCGCGGUAAUUC